rnacentral:rRNA from 1 species
GAUGAACGCUAGCGGGAGGCCUAACACAUGCAAGCCGAGCGGUAUUGUUUCUUCGGAAAUGAGAGAGCGGCGUACGGGUGCGUAACACGUGUGCAACCUGCCUUUAUCUGGGGAUAGCCUUUCGAAAGGAAGAUUAAUACUCCAUAACAUAUUGAACGGCAUCGUUUAAUAUUGAAAGCUCCGGCCGAUAGAGAUGGGCACGCGCCAGAUUAGCUAGUUGGUGAGGUAACGGCUCACCAAGGCGAUGAUCUUUAGGGGGCCUGAGAGGGUGAUCCCCCACACUGGUACUGAGACACGGACCAGACUCCUACGGGAGGCAGCAGUGAGGAAUAUUGGACAAUGGGUGAAAGCCUGAUCCAGCCAUCCCGCGUGCAGGACGACUGCCCUAUGGGUUGUAAACUUCUUUUGUAUAGGGAUAAACCUACCCUCGUGAGGGUAGCUGAAGGUACUAUACGAAUAAGCACCGGCUAACUCCGUGCCAGCCGCCGCGGUAA